UAAGUAUACAGUAUAAUUUUGCUUUUGUCUUCAUAUCUUUAAUACUUCAGUAGACACUAAUAUCGGAUAGCCUUGCUUAUAAUCGUAUCAAUAUUUCACCGACUACAAGAUGGUAAUAAAUCGGUGAAUCUCCUACACUCUAAAGGAAAAAUAGUUGGGAUGCGGUUGUCUCCUGGUGGAUAAUAAAACUCAACAAAUGAACCGAUUUUGAGGAAUUUAUGUGAGAACCAUUCAUUAACGGUUCAAGGAAUAGUAAAGUUGACCCCAGUGGAAUUUGAACACCAAAUGUAGAAGAAAAAAACAAGUGAAGACAAACAUAAAAGUUCCAACAUAAUUAAAUACCAGAAGAUAUUUAGUCUGGCGACUGUCUAUAUCAUAUUAAUUGGAGGAUUGAGCAAGGCACAUGUUGUUCGAGUCAACUGAGCUGAAAAUAAAAACCAGCCCAAAACUGAUGAAGUCCCCUUUCCUUCCUGAUGCCACACAUGGGUUAUUCCACUGGGUCAACGGUGGAGGAAACGAGAGUGACGUUUAUACUCAAAUGGUGUAAAUUUUGACAGCAGGGAGACAAAGGAAGAUGGAACAAUUUGACAGUUUAUCAGGGCAGAAUUCAAAGGAGAAAGCAAGGUAGAACGUGAGUUACGCUAGAGUGUAAAUCAGGCUGCCUUGCAGUAUUUAGUUGCGUAAUAGCAGUAUUAAGUUGUGUUAUUAGCAUUAUGUCAUUGAAGACGAACUAAUUUGAAUCGCAGGCACCACAUUAAUAAAGAUACUAUGUUAUGUCUUCCCUAA